rnacentral:pre_miRNA from 1 species
GACUGAGGGAGAAAUGGAGGUGCGCUACCGACAUGGAUCCCUCUAUUUCUUUUCUCUCCUUCCU